UAAAAUAUGAGUCCAAUAAAAAAAGGCAUCUUUUCUGAAUCGUGAGAGAAAUUUUUAGCACUGUUUACAAGCAAAAAUGAUCCAAAACAUUGAAUUGUCCAGAAGUGAUUGUUUCAAGUUAAUUAAGGAUGGAAUUGUUUCUUACAAACAUGCAGCUUUUUGCUUCACGAUAUGUUAAUUGAUGGACUUGAGUGGUGUGGAUUAUUUGUGGAUUAUUGUGAUGUUUUUAUCAGCUGUUUGGACUCUCAAAUUUCUACAAAUCUGUUCCAAUAAAGAAAUAAACUUUGGGUGAGGGUGAGUAAAUUUUCAGCAAGUUUAAAUUUUGGGGUAACUUUAGUUCUAUUAGUUGUACUGUAGGUCUAUACGAUGACUAAAAUUAAGUGACCAAAGUACAGAACAACAAAUGUUUUAAUACAAUUCAUUGGAAAACAAAAGCUGUAUGAUCUCCCCAGUCAAAGUGACAGACUCUGGAGUGUACUACUGUGCCCUGGUCCCACAGUGACCGGAAAAGAAACAACACUGUACAAAGAGUAAGACAGAUCACACACUGCAUCACUGUCAAGCACUUACUAUAACAUUCAGUUUAUAGUUUUAAGGGGAGGAGUUUGCUUGAGACAUCAUCUGUUGACAAGGAAAGAACAGAAAGUUUAGCUGAAGAACAUUUCGUGCUGAACUUAAACUUCAUUCUGGUUAUGAUCAACAUGUUGCCCUGCUUAACUGGUUUGAUUUGUUCUCUUAUAUGUGGCAGUUUUGCGAAUGUCAUCACACCAGUCCAGACUGAGGUUUAUAAGAAAGAAGGAGAAAACGUUACUCUGUCCUGUAGCUACUCCUCAGCGUCUACACUGCAGUGGUAUCGCCAGUAUCCCGGAUCAGCUCCUCAAUUUCUUUUGAUAAUACUACAUGCUACAGGAAAAGUUUCACAAAAGUCAGAAAUUGUGGAUCGAGAUCCUCGAUUCUUUGGGAAAGUGAAUGAAGAGAAAACCCAUGUGAUUCUGGAGAUCUCCUCUGCUAAGCUGACAGAUGCUGCUCUCUAUUACUGUGCCCUGGAGCCCACAGUGACAGGAAACACAACAACACUGUACAAAAACACUCCCAAUGACAUUAUAGGUGAAUGUACUGUACCAUACAUUGCAUGUCUUCUGAAUAUAUGAAGUUAUAUAUAUAUUAUAAUAUAUGCAAUAUACUGUUUAGCAUUGUGUACUAGAAGAAGCCAAAAACAAAAACUUGAAAAAAUAUUAUAGAUUUGCAAUGACACCAUCUUACAUAUCUAUUUAGAAAAUAAAUAAAUAGUUAAAAUAACUGUGCUCUGAUUAGGAAUUAUUCUCAGUUUUGCAUUCAUAAUACAGAUGUACACUACUGAUUAAAAUAUAUUGUUUAUGUUGCAUUCAUGAUUGUUAAAAUGAAAUGUUUGGACAAGUUGACGUUAAAAUUGCUAGUGAAUCACUUUAUUCAUGCUUUUCAUUAGUCUUCGUAAAAGUCGUUUAAGUCAGUAUAGUGGGGAAAUAUUUCUGCAAUUUCUGUUGUGACAAUUUUUUUUUAUUUUAAAACAUAUCACCAUCCGUUGUUUAGUUGGAGCAUUUUUGCAAAAUUUUGGUCUCUUAAUGCAUCAGUUUUAUGAGACAUGCAUUUGUUUGUCAUCUGCCACUAGGGGGUGAAGUUACAACAAAAAUAAUACAUUCAGUCAGUGAAUGAUGUGUAACUUUCAAAAUGCUAAUGCUAUUUUCCCUAUACACAGCAUACAGACUGUAGAAUAAUAAAAGAUGUCAGACACAGAGAGACUCACUCUGAGCUUUACAUAACAGAUUGAGAGGAAAUCCUGUUAACUGACAGCUAUCUCAGGUUAAAUGUGGAAAGACAGAAGGUGGUCUAAACAUCAUAAACCACACCCACAUUUACAGACAUUAUAGCUGCACAAAUGACUCUCCAUUACAUUCAUACAUUUACCUUUCAACUUAAAAUCAUCAAGUAUAUAUUAAUAGUCCUAGUUUAUGAGUUAAUUUCUCACCAUGGAGAGAUGUGUUCUACUGAUUCUUAUAACAGUACCAGGUAAAGUGCAAAAUCGUAUUUAUGUAGAUAUUUAAUUAAUUAAUAUUAAAUUAAAAAGCUGACAUCAUGUCAUAUAUACAUCAUGGAGUAUAAUUCAACUUUCAUGAAAUAUCAUAUUCUCUUGCAGGUGCAUUUGCUGACAGCAUUGAACCAAAUGACAAGGAUGAUAUAAUCAGGAGAGAAGGAGAGUCUGUGACACUGAGCUGCACAUAUGAUACAAGGAGCAACAAUAUUUUGCUUUACUGGUACAGACAAUAUCCAAACAGAGAACCUCAAUAUUUACUGUAUAAAGGUGCUCGAUCAUGGAGCAACAGUUGGAAUAUACCAGAACGUCAGUUUCAGUCAAUUACAUCUGAAUCAUCCACUGAACUCUCUAUUGACAGUGUAACUCUGUCAGAUUCAGCUCUCUAUUAUUGUGCUCUAAGAGUUGGAGCCCAGUGAUACAAAAUGACUGAGAGGCUUUACAAAAACUCACACAUAAAAUAACUGCUUUGAACUGUAUUUGAUCAACUGAAAAUCAGACCACAGCUAUAUUUCAUGUGAGCCACAAAACCUUUAUGAAUAACAGGAUACAGUAACAGCUGUUAAAACUGAGAUGAAUGAAAUUAAGCAUACAAUUUAAUUCAGCAAUUAUUAAUAUGAAAAAGUCACAGCUGUGGUCAUGCUAGUGAUUAAUAACUUCAUUCAUUUGGCUAAUUUUGCCUGUCAAAUAUAUAAGUAUUUUUCUAGAGCCACUUUUUCAUCUAAACUAAAGUGUUAUUUUAGGAAUAUUUGCUUAUAAAUAUUAUAAAAACAUAAAUAUCAUUCUUACAGCAGAUUAUCUGAAUAUGAAGACUGUAUCUUUAGGGGGAGGUAACAGUAGAGAGUGAAUCAAUGUUACUUCAGUAACAGUCUGUCCUGCAGAUGAACUAAAACAACAACUUGGAAAUUGUUUUUUUUUUUUUUGUCUGUUCUCUAACAUGUAAAUAUAUUCAACCCCAAAGUGUCAUUUAUUUGUUGUUGCAUGUGCAAUUUUCAUUUAAAUGAUUUCUUCAUUUUAAGUGCAAACUUCAUUGAACUUAAAUUUCUAUCUUCUUAUCUGCAGGUGUCUAUCUAUAUCAUAUCAAUAAAAAAGGCAACAUUUAUCAUCCUUUAUAUAUAUUUUUUCAGAUUCACCAGUGUUUUAUCUUUGUUUUAUCUUUUAUCCUUUAUACUCGUGGAUGUUGUCAAUGGGAGAAUAAAUGUUUGUCACACCACCACUGGGGGGUGCUGUGUACAUUAAAAUAUUUCAGAGAGGACAAAUUUAAUGCUGCAAGCACAAACCUCACUAUCAAAUAUUGAACAUUCAAACUCUACCAAAAAGGCUCUGUUUGGUUUAGCUUUAAAUUACCCUCAUAGUAACAUAAUAAACAUAUUCGCAGUCACACUUGCUGAUAAAAUUGAAUUAUUGAACAAUAGGUAGCAUUUUUAAGAUAUUCAUAG
ensembl:lncRNA